rfam:Cathartes aura contig65819, whole genome shotgun sequence.
AUACCUUUCAGGCAGGUGGUUUUCCCAGGGCAAGGCUCAUCCCCUGCACUCCGGGUGUGCUGACCCCUGUGAUUUCCCCAAAUGUGGGAAACUCAACUGCAUAAUUUGUGAUAGUGGAGGACUGCGUUCACGUUUUUUUAAG